GGUUCCAUGGCUCAGUUGGUUAGCGCGUGGUGCUAAUAUUAUCAAAAUGUUAACGCCAAGGUCGAGGGUUCGACCCCCUCUGGAACCA
rnacentral:tRNA from 1 species